rnacentral:rRNA from 1 species
UACAGAGGGGGCAAGCGUUAUUCGGAAUUAUUGGGCGUAAAGGGCGCGUAGGCGGCCUGGCAAGUGGAAGGUGAAAUCCCUCGGCUUAACCGAGGAACUGCCUCCCAAACUGCUUGGCUUGAGACCAGGAGAGGUGAGUGGAAUUCCCAGUGUAGCGGUGAAAUGCGUAGAUAUUGGGAGGAACACCAGUGGCGAAGGCGAGUUCCUGGACAGUUACUGACACUGAGGCACGAAGGCCAGGGGAGCAAACGGG